CAUCAGCCGCCACUGCCGGAGCUCUGGCGAACAGGCUCCGGCUAACACCACCACUGUCACACUGUCCUUUCUUCUUUUCCCAUAUUCUGGCCACUAAACACCACCUCCAUCCGCAUCACAAAGCCAAACCAGAUCCGCGCCACCUCCACUGGAAACCCCUCUCUCUUCUUUCGUAAUGCCCCGCCGGAGUUGAUCGCUGGCGGGCGGGCUUCAGCCAAGCACACCAGCGGCCCCCCCUCUCCAUUUCUCUUUCAUUUUUCUCUGAUCUUUUCUUUAAUGUGUUGACCGGAUAAGUCUAGAUCUGGACGGACGACUAAUACUCCGGCGCUAUUCCAGCAAAGGCCAUGGAAACAACGUCACUUUCUUCACUAGUUUAUGUUGUUGUCUCCAUUGAAUGGGGUUUUUGAUUUUUUUUUAUGUUAUGUUAUUGUGCAAAUCUGGUUGGAACCUAUAUUUUUAACAAUUUCUUGGUUGUUCGGGC
rnacentral:lncRNA from 1 species